AAAGUUUGAUCCUGGCUCASWUUGWACACUGGSGKCWUGCCUUACAUAUGCMAGUCGAACGGWAACAGGGAGCUUGCUCCRCUGACGAGUGGCGAACGGGUGAGUAAUGUAUCGGAACGUACCUUUCAGUGGGGGAUAACGUAKCGAAAGUUACGCUAAUACCGCAUAUUCUGUGAGCAGGAAAGCAGGGGAUCGCARGACCUUGCGCUGAUUGAGCGGCCGAUAUCAGAUUAGCUAGUUGGUGAGGUAAAGGCUCACCMMGGCGACGAUCUGUAGCGGGUCUGAGAGGAUGAUCCGCCACACUGGAACUGAKACACGGUCCAGACUCCUACGGRAGGYRGCAKUGGSGARUUUUKRACAAUGGGGGCAACCCUGAUCCAGCCAUGCCGCGUGAGUGAAGAAGGCCUUCGRGUUGUAAAGCUCUUUCGGCCGGGAAGAAAUCGUAUGGGUUAAUACCCUGUGCGGAUGACGGUACCGGCAUAAGAAGCACCGGCUAACUACGUGCCAGCAGCCGCGGUAAUACGUAGGGUGCGAGCGUUAAUCGGAAUUACUGGGCGUAAAGCGUGCGCAGGCGGUUUUGUAAGACAGGCGUGAAAUCCCCGGGCUCAACCUGGGAACUGCGCUUGUGACUGCAAGGCUAGAGUAUGGCAGAGGGGGGUGGAAUUCCACGUGUAGCAGUGAAAUGCGUAGAGAUGUGGAGGAACACCAAUGGCGAAGGCAGCCCCCUGGGCCAAUACUGACGCUCAUGCACGAAAGCGUGGGUAGCAAACAGGAUUAGAUACCCUGGUAGUCCACGCCCUAAACGAUGUCAACUAGGUGUUGGGUGGGUAAAACCAUUUAGUACCGGAGCUAACGCGUGAAGUUGACCGCCUUGGGGAGUACGGCSCAGGUUAAAACUCAAAGGAAUUGACGGGACCCGCMCAGCGGKGAUGAUKUGAUUAUUCGAUGCACSSCGAAACCUUACCUACCUUGACWUGUUCAGGARCCUGAAGRAUUGGUGKGCCCGAAAGACUUGAAMCMAGUGCUGCAUGCUGUCGUMRCUCUGUCGKRAAKUGGGUAGUCCCGCACGAGCCACCUGGCCUAAUGCAUCUUAUUGGACCUCUUGAAACCCUGGGGAAUACCGGAAGAAAGUGKGGGGUAU
rnacentral:rRNA from 1 species